AUACCUCACAUUCCCCAGCACGGUUCCGACAGGCCCAUGAGUGGGGAGUCCUCAUGGCCUGGGAAGGUGGCCGAGAAAGUUUGAACAGCUGCAGAGCCUGCCCGUCCACUCUCUCCAGCCACAUUUGUGUGUGUGUGUGUGUGUGUGUGUGUGUGUUGUGUUUUGACCAACCUCUUAGGCUUAUGUAACACACUUGGAAGUCAAGAAGUAAGGACUCAUUACUGACAGCCUCAGAGAGGCUUGCGAAACACUUGCUGUGAAGAAAUCUUUCCAUUGAGAAAAAGUUCCCUGGUGCUCAUGCUCCCAGUGGCUCAGGCCUGGUCUGCACUCAGCGGCUGCCAGGACCUCCCGGGAGCGCCCACACACCCCACAGCCCGCCUGUCCUGGGAAUACCUCUCCAGGCCCUGAAUACCUGUCCCCCACUCCCUGCCUAGGACAACGGGGGCUGUCAGGGCCAUGGGCAGGCCCACCCCACCAACCAGACCCUACGUGGGCCCCGCCUUGGUCCCGGAGCCAAUGUCUGGCUGAUCAGGGAACAAGAGGAGCCUUCAACACCUCAAUUCUGGGACGGUUGAGGUUUUCACACCGGGCCACACCUGAGCCACUAGGAGCCGGGAGGCUCUGAUCGUCUCUCCGCCUGUCUCUCUCUGGCAUCGCCAGGGCUGACUUCAUUCCACGUCCGCGCGGAAACAGCAGGGCUAUCUCAGUGCAAUCCUGGUUUUGUAUUCAGAGCCUCCUCUGAGUGAGUGCCAGGGCGCACCGUGCAAGGAGCCUGGCUUUGCCCACUGCAAUCCCGUGCCCUCACCCUAGUCUUUUAACCUCUCACGACUCAGGUUCCUCAUCUGUGAAAUGGAGCUGUCUUCUUUGUGGGGUUAGUGGAAGCAAUAAGCGAGAAGUGUGUCCACACAGGCCCAGCCUUUCUGGGGCCUCACUGUGACCAGACACUGCGCUUUGGACUAGGGGAUGGGAUGCGACUUAGGGGAGCUGCGGCCACCUGUCUCUGGAGGCUGAAGUCUCCCUGCGGACCACCCUUCCUCAGGACCACCCUUCCUCACUUGCACGUCUCCCCUGCAGUCAGGACUCGCCUGCCCCCACGCCAGGCUCUCCCUAGUGGAUCAGGCUGUACAACCUGGUUUGUAUGAGGAAAGGCAGCCGCUGGGGCCCCAGUGCAGCAAGAGAGGGGAGGAGGAGGUGUUCAGAGGGAAGACCCCUCCCCACCCCCGUUGGCCCCUUGUCUUCAAAGGAAGGGCGUGACCUUUCUGCCCCCCAGACCCACCCUGAGGGUCACUGUGGCGGUGAAGCCUGGUGCCGGCACUUGUGCCCGCCCUCUGACUUGCAGUGUCCCGAGACAUAUUCAGGGGAGCCAGGUAUUCAAUCAGCAAGGCUCCCAACAAGAUGGGGUGGGUGGGAGAAGCACCCACAAUUCUCUAGAAGGCUUUCAGGGCAUUCUUCACUAAAGAGACACAUUGGAGUCUGGAACCCCUCCCCUAGCAGGGGGACACCUCCAAGCUGUGCUCAAAACUGGGACAGGAUAUUUGGGUUGGAGUGUUCUCCGUCUCUGCCUCUCUGUCUCUCUCUCUCCCUUUCUCUCUGUCUCUCUCUCUCUCUCCCUCUCUCCCUGUCUCUCUCUCUCUCUCUCUCUCUCACUCUCUCUUGCUCUCUCUUUCCUCCUGUCUCUCUAAAGGUCUCCUUUCCUCUAAGGGCAAAGCAGCAGCUGUCAGGUCCUUAGAGCAGGAUCCCUGGUUGGUGCAGGCCCAGGGCCAGCCCCUGGUCCCGGCCUUUCUUCCCCUGGGGGAUGAACAGUGAAUGCAGCCGCCCUGGGAGUUGGGCGACCUGCGGGGCUUGGAGGGAAGGGCAGGAGGGCCCAGGGCUGACACAGCACGCCUGGCUGGGGUGGGGGCAGUGGUGUGGGUGGCUGACCACAUUCCUGGGAUGCCGGGCUGCAGGGCUGGGCGGCUGUGUCUACACCUGUCUGCCCCUGUCGGCUGUGAGCAAUGCAGCCAGGGACAGGGCAGCUAGAGCCAUGCUGUGGUCUGGCCAGUGGGCCAGGCACGUGAGCUGGUUCAUGCCCUGCUGCACCAACAACGUUCACCUGGAGAGGUCAGUGGCCUCAUUGAGGGGAAGAAGGGCUCUGUCCCUAGAGUCUAGCAAGCCUGGGCCAUGGUCUGUGGGGCUUGUCAGGGUGACUUCACCUCUGUGAGCCUCAGUUUCCCUCCCUGGAAAGUGGAGCAUAACAUGGGUGGGGUCCCCGGUGCUGGCCUGCAGAGCCCUGGGAGACGUGUGGAGUACAAGCCCCAUACGCUAGGCCAAAAGAUCCGCAGACCAGGCAGCUUAACUGAUAGAAAUGAAAGUCCAAGAUCAAGGUGUCAGCAGGGCAGGCUCCUUCUGAGGCUGCGGGGAAGGAACUGGCCCAGGUUUCUCUCCUUGGCUUGCAGGUGGCCCAUGCCUCUCCACAUCAGCUUCCCUCCCAUGCGGCCUCUGUGCCUGAACUUCCUCUUUUAGUAGGACUGCGGUCAUAUUGGAUUAGGGCCCACCCUAAUGGCCUCCUCAGAACUUGGUGACCACUGUAAAGGCCCUAUCUCCAAAUCAGGAAAUGUUCCGGGGUCCUGGGGGUUAAGACUUCAACACAAACAUCUUGUUGGAGGGGGGUUGCAAUUCAGUCCACACCCGCUUCCCUCGUCUCACUUCGUCCAGCACUCAGCACCCUCUGGCCCUGCCCUUAGCUGUGGGUCUGGAUUUCCCAUCUCUUCCACGGUAAGCCCUGUGAGGGCGGCGUCUUUAUCCCAUUUGCUGUUACACCUGCAAUUCCUGGGGUGCCGGCUUGUUCUCAUCAUUUAGCAGACCAUUGCUGAAUGGCUAACAAAUCCAGGAUACAAUUUGUAGGUGCACCAAGCCAGGCAAGGUAUCUGCGUCACCUGCCCGUCAGUGGCCCCAGGCUGGGAAGACCCCUUGGGUCAUGCUUGGACACUCUGCACCAUGGGCAGCCAGAACUCCUGGCCGAGUGGUCAGCGGCCGCCACACCUUGCUGGAGCAGAGGCACCCCUGCCAUCCCACAGGCAAGACGGACCUAGCUCGGUUUCCCAACACUCUGUUGAGAUGGGGCUGCCCAGAAGCCCACACAAGCCCACACCUGGGGGAAUCCCAGCCCCACGUUCUGGUUCAAGUCGCUGCUGGUUUGGGUUCAGAGCCCAAACAUGAGCUCCUGCUCUUCUUGGUGUGAUCUGAGGCUGUGGAUAUCCUGAGAACAUCUGUCUCAACAGAACACCUUCCUCCAUGUUGCCUAUAUCCCAAAUUCACUCCCAAGUGGCUUUUGUCUGGCAGAUUCCGGUGGAUUAUGCAAAGAGGGACUGCCAGAGAAUCUGAGCUGUUGGAAGACUUCUGAAACGUCACUGCGGUGGCGGAGGCACUGCCCCGGGGGGACAAAAGUCUUGUCUCUUCCUCCAAAUGUGGAGGAUCAAAUUAGAGUUGACUUGUGUGUUUCCAAACCCGUUGUCGUCCCAGCAUUCAACUAAUUUGAAGAUACCAAAAGCCUCAGAAGAGGGUGGCAGAAGAAGAAAGGGACAAACACAAAAGGGGAAGGACAAGAGGGCAGACCGUUAAAAAAAAAAAAAACCUACAAGAAUGCAGUUUGCUCCUGGGUGGACCCUCCCACCCCGUGCCUGCCCCGAGCUGGCCCCUGACCUGUGCCGGCAGCUCAAAUUCCUAACAUCUGGCCCAGGGUAAGGAUAUGGGCAACUCUUUAAGGAAGCGUGUCCUCGCUAGGUGCUGAUCACUCACUCCAAGGGACUUUGCUCCUGGAUGCCCAGGCUCAGAGAGGGCUGUGAGCCUCCCAUGGUCACACAGCAGCAGUCCAAGUGCCUGGGGCAGUCCGAUGCCCACAUCCCCCUUGAGGUCCCAGGUCUCAGGUGUCACCUCUUGAAAAUUCAAAGGAGGAUCCUUCGAAUUCAUGAACCAGCAACCUCCCAGGAGAGAAAAAGAAAGAAAACUCCUGAAAGUCGCGGCAGAUCCUCACGGCUCUGCAGAUGUCCUGCGGAGGUUGAGCCUCUGCACUUUGGCCUCAGCUGCCCAGGUACCAGUCUCAGCUACUGUCACUGGCGGUGUGGCCUGGGCAGCCAUGUCCCCUCCCCAGGCCUCAGUCUCCCAGUGUGUCAAAUAUCUGCCCCGUCUCAGGUCUCAUUCUGCUGCUUCCCCCUUGUGAUCAUACCCUGCCCCUCCCCACUCCCCAAGGACUUCUUGGCCUUAGCCCACAAACCUAUGCAGGUGGUUCCAUCAGAGACUGUCCCCCCCAGCCACCCCAGCCCUCAUCCUAAGUCCCAUGCUCCCCUCCCCUGCAGGAGGCCACUCCGUCCUCCUAGUACUCUCUUCUCCCAGCAUCUCCAGUUCUCCACUGCCCGCUUUUCCUGCUGCCCCACUUGCUGGUCCCCUGGAGUCCCCCAGACAUCAUCGCUCCUGCAGUCAGCAAGGAUUUGGUGGGUGCCUGUUGAGGGGGCCGCUCCUCUGGGGCUGGAGUGCAGCGAUGCGUGAAACAUUAUGAUCCCUGAUCGCCUGGGGCUUCUGGUCCCAUGGGAUUUGAGGGUUCCUUGGUUUUUUUCUCUUUCAACCCUUCUUCUCCCUGGGUGACCUCAUCAGUUCCCAUGGAUUGAAAUAUCCUUAUGCCAAUGACUUCCAAAUUUGUCUCUUCAGCCAUGACCUCUCCUCCAAACUCUGGACCCAUAUAUCCGGCCAUCCACUUGACAUCUCCCUUUGGGGUCUCCCAGACAUGUCAAGCAGAUCGUGUCCAAGCUGGUGUCCAAUCCUUUCCCAGGCAACUCAACUCCCAUCUUCCCCAUCUCAGUAAAUCCCACUGCCACCCCUCCACUAGCUCCAUCCAGAAACCUCUACAAUCUCCUUGCUUCUCCCUGUCCAUAUCCACGAUCAGGAAUCCAUCCACAGACCUGUGCAUCCUGUCUCUGCAGAUCCACAGCCUCACCCCCAUCAGCACCCCGGUCCAUAGAGAGAGACCUGGUGACACAGAUGGUACUUCAGAGAGAGGACAUGAAUGGUGUCUCUAGUCAUGAGAGUCAGGGUUUAGGUUGAAGCUACUCCGCCAGGGAGAAGUGGAGAUCCAGGGCCCAUCCAGGGACACGCAGGGAGAAACCGCUUCCCCCAGCCUCAGGGUGGAGCCCCUGGUUACCCUCUGAGCCCCAGAGCCUUGUGUCCCCAGGGAGGCAGAGGGUGGAAAAGACUGAUGGGUAGAGAGAGUGAGAGCAUCAAGACCCCUCUACACUGCAGUACAAGAGGCUCCCUUUUGGGUGGGCGUGACAGGAGACAUCCCAGUACGUGGAUCCCAGCCUUUGGACUUGGUGACUGUGAUCAGCUAAGAGUAAAACUGUUCUUGCUUUAUUCUUCUGGGAAAGGGCUACACCUGCUGGGUUCCACACCAGGUGAAGACCGGGCAGGUAUUCUAUUCAAAAGGGUGUGGCUUUGCCACCCAUUUGACAGGAGAGAAAACGGAGGCAUGGAGUUACCAGGAUGUGAGCAGCACAGCAGAGCAGUCCUGUUCAGGGCCUCACACUCCCUCCCCACAGCCCCCUUCCUGACCCUACAGCCCCCGUUCCAGGCAGUUCCUAGCACCAUAAGGUAAGUGGACAAGCCUCACUCUGGAAGGAGAGCACAGGGCCCUGUCCCUCCUGGGGGCCCGCUGAGAAGCACAGUGGAGUUCUCCAGGGACCACCAUCACACCGAGGACACGUUACCAUAAAGAAAGGGCCCCUGCUCACACACAUUUCCCAGUCACUAGCAGUGAGCACGUGGCAGCCUCCAGCAGCUCGGAUUCCUCCAGGCCACACCCUAGACCUGGCCACCCACAUUCUGGCUUCUCAGGGCACAUGGAGCAGCCAUUCCCCUGGGCUCUGGGCCCCAGGCACAAGAGACCCAGGCUUGCAGCUGUUUUGCAGAGAGUAAGGGCAAAAUGGAAGCUGCAGUGAUGAGGGAGAAGGUGCUGGGGAGAGGGAGAGAGAUAGCUGGAUGGGCAGGGCCGCUGUUGCUGGGACCUCAGCCCCAGGACGGGCAUCCUUUCAGCAAAAUCUUUGCUGGGCAGCUAUGGUGGGCUAGACACUGUGAGGUGAUGGCGUCUGGGCAAGACCUACAGGACAGGGGACGCGCAGCCCAGUGGGAAAGACAGGGAAUCAGCUCAACCGUCCACCAUGGGCCAUGUCAGAUCCAGUUAUCCUACCAUCCAGAAGCAGGGGGCCAGGAGGUUAAAUGACGUGCUGGUGGCCAUGGUGUGGGGGCAGAAGGGCCAGGGUUCAAAGCCAUACCCCUUUGAACAGAACAGGUGUAGCCUAUUUACCCGCCUCUCCCUCCAUCCAUCUGCACAUUAAUUCAUUCAUUCAUUCAUUCAUUCAUUCGCUGAGCACCUGCUAUGUGCUGGGCCCUGCUCUCAAGAAGUUUGGAUUCUGGUGGGGAGGAAAGAAAAAAUAUCCAGGUUCAUCAGACAAGCAAAUAAUACAACUACAAAAGUUGUCAAGAGUCUCCUGGAAGAGAAGGAGCUGGCUAUGUGGGGCCUGCACACACACGUAUGCAUAUAUUCACAUGCAUGUUCAUCCAUGUACACAUGUGUGCAUGCAUGUCUGUGUGUGCUUUGAGCAUGACUGUACCUGUGUAUCUGUGUGUGCACAGAUGUGCAUGUGCACGUGUCUAUCUGAGUGUGUCUGUGUGCAGGCAGGUUUCAUGGAUGUUUCUGUGCCUGCAUACAUGUGUGUGAGUGUGUGUGCAUGUGUGAAUGUGAAUGUAAUUCCCAACAGAGGUAUGAACAUAGCUCAGAGGUGGGUGGACUCAGUGGGAUGUGCUUUAGGGAGGAAAAGAGGCCCAGUGUGCCAGGGGUCAGGGCGUGGGGCAUUGAGGGGUUUCGGGAGGAAGGAGCACGUGGAGGCCAAGCUGUGAAAACCCUGUAGACCAUGAGAGGAAUUUGAGUUUUAUUCAAAAUGCAAAGGGAGCCAACAGAGGAAUUUCCACAUGGCUAGAAAAAAGCACACAGCCAUGGGACUGUGGGGAGCACGGAGUGGAGGGGGUGUGAGUGGAGGCAGAUGGCCAGGCCAGAGGCCAGCACUGCACCUGCCCAGGUGAGAAAGGCUGGGAGAUGAGAAGGAAACCCACACUGACCAAGAUUAAAAACAAUACGAUACAAGGAAUUAACAGCAGAUGAGACAGUGUAAAAAAAAAUAAUAAUAAUGAACUUAAAAACACAGUCAUAGAAAUUCUCCAAAAUGGAAUACAAGGAGAAAAAAGACUUAAAAAAAAGACAAGGAAGAACAGAACAGCAGUGAGUUCUGGGACAUCAAGUAGCCUAGCAUAGGUAACUGGAGUCCCCAAUGAACCCCAGUGAGCGUGACCCAGUAUCCGCCUAGUAGGACGCUGAAAUAAAAAUGACUGACCGACUCAGUGCCAGCGAGGACAUGGGGCCACUGGACCCCUCCCACACCACGGGUACCAGCUCUUUGGAAACCUCUUCUGCAGAUUCUUCCAAAGCUAAAUAUCCAUCUAUGUGUGACUCAGCCAUUCCACUCCUGGGUAUUCUCCAAAGGGAGAUUAAAGUGCACAGCCUCCCCAAAUCUCGUACACAAAGGUUCCCAGCGGCUUUAUUUGUAACAGCCCCAAGCUGGAAACCACCCAAAUGCCCAUCAGCAGGUGCUUGGGUAAGCAGAGGCCUGGGGUCACCGUUGGUUCAGCUGUUGGCCUCUCCUUCUGUCUCUCCAAGCGCCCUAGGGCAAGUGGCAUCUUCAAGCUGAGCCUUGGUUUCCUUUCCUGUGAAGUGGGUCUAGUGAGUGGGCCUGAUUUGAGGUGGUGGGCAGGAUCAGCGUGGCAUCACUGGGGAAGCUCGCAGCCGAGUGUGAAGGGCCCGGCAUGGAGGGGUGGAAGAUGUCAGGCUCCAAGCAGCCCCCGACGCUGGCAGUGCUCAGGCUGACCCUUGGCUGCCUCAGCUCUGGGAACCCCAUGCAGCACGAGGCGUCGGGGCAGGUAGUGGGGCCAUAGGAGGCGGCAGGGCCUGGGCUGUGGCCCCGUUCCCUGAAGGGCUCCGUGUGUUCCAUGCAGCGGGCAGGGUCAGGGGUCAUGUUUAAACGCGGGGGAGCCCAGGGCAGUACCUCCAGGCCGCAUGCUAUCCAAGUGGCGUGGGCAGGCGGCCCCUUGGAUGGUCUCGGGACAGCACAGCAAGGCCCUGGGCACUCACCUGACCAGUCACGUUGGGGCCGCCUGAGGGAACAGGCAGGCAGAUCCAACCCAUGGUGGGGGGCUGGGACUUAGGAUGGUUUGAGGGGUGCGCCGAAAGCCUGGGAAGGAGCCUGGGUGGGAGAGUGGAUGCCCGGCACACACACUCGAGUGGACCAGAGGCGGUUGGCUAGGCCACAGCUAUCCCGUGCCCAGCACCCUGGUAGCCAGUUCAGAGUGACUGUCCCAGCCCUAGCUGAGGGUAUGCAGCCAAAGCAGGGCACACCUGGUGUUUCUGGAAACCCCUCUCCCCAUGCCACUGCGUGCCAGCUCCAGUGGCCCCCGUGUCGGUCCUUAGGACUCUGGCCACCCACACGCUGAGCUCCCACAGGGCAGGUCCAAUGCCCAGCACACAGGGGAAGCUCAGCCCAUGUGCCGGCGGAACGGUGAGAUGGGUGUGAAUGAACAAAUGAAGCAUCUCUCUCCCCCUCCCCUCCCCAGCUUCUCAACCACAGAAUCUGUGCCUGGCUCAGGAAAUGUACCCUUCGUGUGGGUUUUCUAUUGCUGCGUAACAAAUGGUCACCAAUUGAAAAGCUUAAAAUGGCAUUUAUCUAUUGUCUUAAAGUUUGGGCAGGUCAGGAGCCAGGACAUGGCAUAGCUGGGUCUUCUGUCUCAUGGGGCUGCAGUCAAGGUGCCAACCGGAGCUGGGGUCUCCUCUGAGGUUUGGGACCCUCUUCCAAGCUCUCUCGGUUGUGGAAGAUUGCAUUUCCUUGCCCCUGUUCCUCAUGGGGCUGGAUCUCCAAAUCCUGCAGGAGAGUCUCUGACUUCAAGGCCAUUUUGAAAGGGCUCACCUGAUUAGCUUGGGCCCACCCAGGAUCAUCUCCAUUUUGAUUAACUCAAGGUCAGCUGGUUAGGACCUUAAUUACACCUGCAGAAGUCCGGCACCUUUGCGAUAUAAAGUAACCUCACCACGGGAGCACAUCCACCCUCUUUGCAGCCCUGCCACACUCCAAGUUGGGGAGUACACAGGUGUGUAGACACCUGGGGGCAGGGAUGCUGGAAAGCGUCUGAGUCUCCUCCCAACCACGCUCUCCUUGGCUCUGAGACUGAGUCCUGGCCCCAGGUAGGUAAUGAGUGAAGCUUUGCGGAAUGAAUACACGAGGGAAUGAGUGAGUGAGUGAAUGUGUGAGUCUGGCAUCUUCCAUCAAACUGUGACCUUCCCAGGGCCAGGGUCCACAUUGGACUCACCUCUGAAAUCGCCAUGCCAACUAGUGCUCCUGGUUACCUAUGACGCUUUGAAUGCUCACCUGAGCGAGUGGAGGAGGGAGUGGCGCCCCUGUCUCUCCUCAAGGUCAGUGUCUGUGCAGAGCAGCUCCAAGACCCAUUCCUCUGGGAGCCAGGUACAGGGCCGCAAGCUCUGUCCUCGGCACCAUCUCCUCUGGCUCCUCCAUGCAGCUGACCCUCCAGUGCACAGCAGCAGCCCCCAGGGCAGCACUGGCCACACAGGGACCAGUGGAGGCAGGCUCCUGGCUGUGAGACCUUGGGCAAGGCCUUCUGUCCCGACCCUCCUGGUCUCCAUCAGCAAGAGAGGGGUGGCAACACCUGGCUGGCGUAAGGAUGGAGCAUUCCCCGCAUGGCCAGCUCUCAGGGCAAUGCCUGGUGCCGUCCAGAUGCCCACACCGUUGCCUCCUUUCAUCCCUCCAAGAGCAUCACCAGGCAGGUGCUGUCAUUAUGCCCAUUUUAUAGCUUGGUAAACUGAGGCACAGAGAGGUUAGGUAAUACAUACAAAGCUGGGGAUUGGGCCCAGACAGUCUGGCUCUAGCCAUAUUGGAAGGGCAUUCCCCCUCACCCCUGACUACUGGGUUCCUGAGUAGUGAGUUGAAGACCCUGCUCGUCAGUGUGCUGUGUGACGUUAGCAAGCCAGCUGUCCUCUCUGUUUUGGCCACUGUGUUGGGCUUCCUGGGGCUGCUAUAACCAAGUGCCACAGGCUACACGGCUUAAACCACAGAAGUGUAUCGUCUCACAGCUCUGGAGGCCAGAAGUUCAAAAUGAAGGUUGGGCA
rnacentral:lncRNA from 1 species